CAGCAGCCGCGGUAAUACGGAGGAUGCAAGCGUUAUCCGGAAUGAUUGGGCGUAAAGCGUCCGUAGGUGGUUUUGUAAGUCUGUGGUUAAAGCGUGUAGCUCAACUACAUAACGGCCAUGGAAACUACAAGACUUGAGUGAAGUAGGGGUAGAGGGAAUUCCCAGUGUAGCGGUGAAAUGCGUAGAGAUUGGGAAGAACACCGGUGGCGAAAGCGCUCUACUGGACUUAUACUGACACUGAGGGACGAAAGCUAGGGGAGCGAAAGGGAUUAGAUACCCCUGUAGUCCUAGCCGUAAACGAUGGAUACUAGGUGUUGCCCGUAUCGACCCGGGCAGUGCCGUAGCUAACGCGUUAAGUAUCCCGCCUGGGGAGUACGCACGCAAGUGUGAAACUCAAAGGAAUUGACGG
rnacentral:rRNA from 1 species